rnacentral:rRNA from 1 species
AGUUGCGAUCUUACCAGCACUAACGCACAAGAUCCCAUCAGAACUCUGAAGUUAAGCGUGCUUGGGCGAGAGUAGUACUAGGGUAGGUGAGCCCCUGGGAAGUCCUCGCAUUGCAUCCC